rfam:Clostridium carboxidivorans P7 ctg00213, whole genome shotgun sequence.
GGGGGCGUACUUGGUUUCGACGGGGGUAUGUUGUAUUUAGGAAGCGAGUCGAGGGAACCUGUGGGCCCGCGUUAAAAAACUAUGGGAUUAAAUGUAAACGCAAACGAUAAUUUUGCAUUAGCAGCUUAGUCUGCUACGUUCUACCUUUGAGUACCGCGGCUUAGGAUAGAGCGUCGACAGCGGUGAAACGAGCCUGUGUAAGCUUUGCCACAGGAACGGAAUUUAUGAAGCUACUGAAGCUGAAAGCCUGUCCAUGGGCGUUCAGUGGAGGGAAUGUUAAAAUGUGGACUGCACUCGGAGAUGCCUAAGUAUUACGACUUUCGGACAUGGGUUCGACACCCAUCGCCUCCACCA